rnacentral:rRNA from 1 species
UGGGGAAUUUUGGACAAUGGGCGAAAGCCUGAUCCAGCAAUGCCGCGUGUGUGAAGAAGGCCUUCGGGUUGUAAAGCACUUUUGUCCGGAAAGAAAUCCUUGGCUCUAAUACAGUCGGGGGAUGACGGUACCGGAAGAAUAAGCACCGGCUAACUACGUGCCAGCAGCCGCGGUAAUACGUAGGGUGCAAGCGUUAAUCGGAAUUACUGGGCGUAAAGCGUGCGCAGGCGGUUUGCUAAGACCGAUGUGAAAUCCCCGGGCUCAACCUGGGAACUGCAUUGGUGACUGGCAGGCUAGAGUAUGGCAGAGGGGGGUAGAAUUCCACGUGUAGCAGUGAAAUGCGUAGAGAUGUGGAGGAAUACCGAUGGCGAAGGCAGCCCCCUGGGCCAAUACUGACGCUCAUGCACGAAAGCGUGGGGAGCAAACAGGAUUAGAUACCCUGGUAGUCCACGCCCUAAACGAUGUCAACUAGUUGUUGGGGAUUCAUUUCCUUAGUAACGUAGCUAACGCGUGAAGUUGACCGCCUGGGGAGUACGGUCGCAAGAUUAAAACUUCAAAGGAAUUGACGGGGUCAUAGCUGUUUCC